CGGACGCAUGCGCACAAGUAGCCGGGCGAGGGGGCAGGCUUUCACAGGCGGAGCUGCGCGGUAGGCUCGGUUUCUCAGCAGGGAGCCUGGGCCGAGCCUGCUUGCCACUGCGGAGCAGGGUGCAGCUUCUGACUCGGACUCUGCUCCUGUUGGCUGCUGAGUGCACUAGGAGCCGGCUGAGGCGUGACUGCUCAGCCGUGGAGGAGACGACUGGCAGCGUGAAUCGCUGUGGCCUCUUUGACAAAAGCCAGUCACUUGUCGUUAAAUGCAGUGGUGUGGGGUAAGGGGUUUUCUCUCCCUUUCCACGUGACCGGCCCGCGCUGGAAGAACUGGGUGCUGGGCGGAGACCGGCGUUUUUAGGAGGAGGCACACCCAGCUUGGGGCCACCUUUGUGUGUUUUCCCUCCGCGCCUGUCCCAAGGUACCGAAGGAGAGUGACGCUCUUGGCAGCCGCCUGUCAAAAUGUCCUCGUCACCGCCACUCGGCCAGCUGCUCCCUGAAAGGGGCAGCAGGAUCCGCCAGCCCGGGAGGGCUCUGUUACGUUCCCGCUGACCCGGGAGAUGCCGGGACAGGCGGCGUCAACCCCCCCAAUUAGUCAUUAGUCUCCGCACUCGACGAGGUUGUAGGAGCCAGCUCCUAUCAUGGACUUUGAUGCCUGGAUGGAGAAAAUGGCACCACUUGUUACGAACACUUGCCAGAAUUUCCCAUUGGUCAGGAUCGAUUCCAAAUUCCUUCAUAUCUGGCUUGCAUGUAUCUUUGAGCCACAGUAUUAUAUAAAAGAAAUUCCCCAGUUUCUCCCAUCAGAACCACAAUUUCCUUGCUAUUGUUUCUCAUUUUGUGUGCUUCCUGUACAAUUAGUGCCAUAACUGUUUUAAUUUUAGUGUUAGAAUUCAUUUUACCAUACAUAGCCUUCCUACAGAACUAAAAACCAAAUUACUUUCAAAUGACUGGAACACAGAGGGUCUGAUUUUCCAUGGCCUUGCAGCUUGCAUGGUCAUUUAUACCCAUUUUUCAGAGGAGUUAAAUACCGCCAAGUCAGAAGUGUAAUGUUCUGUGUUCACUUUGUACACACUUACAGAGAUGUAAAGGACUACACGAACUGCAAAGUGGUGAAGAUUCAGGACCAGAGGAUCCACAGUCUAUCUACUGAGCAAGAAAAUGUUCUAUUUAACCAAACUGUCUUUUUCCUAAAUACCACCUAAUAUAAGAUUCAAAAUCCUUCCCUCAUUCUCAAAUUAGUCGCUUUUGUUUACUAAUUGCUUGGUGUAACAAGUCACACUUGUAAACACAGAGUUUUGCUAUUGACCUAAUUGUCAUCUGCAAGCUGAUGAAGCCCUGUAAAUAUGCAGGUUUUCCUUGUUUCUACAUAGAAAUUCUAUUUUAGAAUAGCAAUAAGACAUUCUAGGCAGUUGUUUCUGAUGUACACCACCACAUCAAAGUAUAAUAUUACUAAGCAGGAAGUGCCCCUAUAAAUUAACAGAAAGUAGCUGUCUCCUCUAUACACAUACAUAUGGUACACUGUAACCCAGUUUUAAUAGCUACAUGACACUGUCUGAUUUUACAUAGCAGGAGUUAGAACUGUGAGUAUAGAAUAAGUAUAACAUUCCAUGAACUGUAUUUAUCAAAUUGUGAAAAGAAUAUUGAUUGCAAUAAAAUCUAGGUGUCAACAGUCUGUC